CUUUUAAUUACUAGCAAACUAGUAAAUAAAUAAGACUCCGUACUGCAAUAAAAUUUUAUUGAAACACAUUACAAAAAAAUAAAGCAAUCAUUUUUGUGGCAGUAUACGAAGCAGCUAUGUGAAAGGUAUGCAUGUUACCCCACGAGGUGGCAGCCGCAAUAAGAACGCACGGUCGAGCACGUAAACAUAGCUCAGCUCGCUAAUAACGCAGUCGAGCCGUUGAAAUUCAACACACUUGUGACUUGUAGGAAAUUAUGAAUCAGUUUGUUUCACUUUUUAGUUUAUUUUAUUACACUUUGCUUUGAUGUUAAGGGUUUAACAGAAAAUGAUAAGGUCUGAUACCAGACGUGAUUUGUAGCUUUCUGUAUGGAAUUUUGAAACAUUGAGUCAGAAAGCAGUACCAGGUGUAGACUGCUUCUUCACGGGUCUACGAGCAGAAUCGCCGUUGAGAGCGUCUCUGCUGAAUGACGAACCUGCAGCUGGGUUGUUGGACGAACCUGCCUUGAUUCUCAGUCAUUCUUUCUGUUACAACAGGUUCUUCGGUUAUUUUUGGAGUCGACUCCAUGGAACGAUCUCUCUUCCCCUUCGUUAAGCAUGAAUUACUGGCACCUUCGCUGCGAACGCACACGAGCGUACACUGGGCCUUUGGAUGGAGGUGUGAAGCACACUGCCAGUCUCAGCAAAGGAAACUAACGGAUUUCAUUGCCCAUUUGAUGGACUGGAGUCGACUCCGGAACCGACACAGACUUUUUGUGGUUUAAUUUCUGGCUUUUGCAUUAUAUUCUUCCUAUUUAAAUUUCUGUAUUUUAAAACAGCAAGUGCAGCACUCAGACGAUAGUUUGAUGUUUAUUUGUGGGUUUUUUUCUGUAAUUUCAGUGUUAUUUUUUGUGCGUUGAAUAGAAGUAUGUGCAAAAUUACGAGUAAUGUGCGGCAAAAGUUGCAAUAAAGCUUCUGACAAC